UACGUAGGGGGCGAGCGUUGUCCGGAUUUAUUGGGCGUAAAGAGCGUGUAGGCGGCCAGGUAGGUCGGUUGUGAAAACUGGAGGCUCAACCUUCAGACGUCGACCGAAACCAUCUGGCUAGAGUCCGGGAGAGGAGAGUGGAAUUCCUGGUGUAGCGGUGAAAUGCGCAGAUAUCGGGAAGAACACCCGUGGCGAAAGCGGCUUCCUGGUCCAGCACCGACGUUCAGGCACGAAAGCGUGGGGAGCAAACAGG
rnacentral:rRNA from 1 species